GUGUGUGUGUAGUGUGUGUGUGUAUAUAAUGCAGUGCGUUUGUAUAGUGUGUGUAUAUAAUGCAGUGUGUAUUUGUGUGCAUUGUAUACACACACACACACACUAUACAAAC